AUGAACGCUGGCGGCGUGGAUAAGGCAUGCAAGUCGAACGGACUUUUUAUGUACAGAGAUGAGAUUAUAUCAAGUCAAAGUUUUUAAAAAGUUAGUGGCGAACGAGGUAGUAAUACAUAGGAACUUCCCCUUUAGUCGUGAAUAAUCCAUCGAAAGAUGGACUAAUACACGAUGGUCUCGCAAUAGUAAAGUUUUAACGCUAAAGGAAAGGCCUGUGCGAUAUCAGCUAGUUGGUAGUGUAAUGGACUACCAAGGCUAUGACGUCUAGGGGAGCUGGGAGGCUGACCCCCACCGAUGGUACUGAGACACGGACCAUACACCUACGGGUGGCUGCAGUCGAGAAUCUUCCACAAUGGACGAAAGUCUGAUGGAGCGACGCCGCGUGAUUGAUGAAGUCCCUCUGGGACGUAAAGAUCUUUUAUGAGGGAAGAAGUUUAUUGACGGUACCUCAUGAAUAAGAGGCUCCUAAUCUCGU
rnacentral:rRNA from 1 species